rfam:Ixodes scapularis strain Wikel colony gcontig_1107729065876, whole genome shotgun sequence.
CCCUGGUUAGCUCAUUUGGUAGAGCGCUCCACCUGUAAUGGAGAGGUCCCGGGUUCGAUACCCGGACCAGGCG